rnacentral:lncRNA from 1 species
AGCGAAGGAAAGCUAAGAAUAUGAGCAAGAAGAAUCUCAGUUUUUUACAUCAGACACUUUCAGUUCUCAUAAAGUGGCAAGGAAAGAGAGGAGGUGGGGUGGCCCUUUACGUUAAGAACAGUCUUCUAUGCCUAGAACUUAGCAAUAUGCAUGAUGACAGUGUGGAGAGCCUGUGGAUAAGGAUCAAGAGGAAGACCAGUAAGGCAGACAUUGUGGUGGGAGUUUGUUAUAGACCCCCAAACCAGGAUAUAAAGACUGAUGAAGUAUUCUAUAGGCAGGUGACAGAAGCCUCACGAUCACUCUCCCUUGUACUCAUGGGGGACUUCAAUUUCCCUGAUAUCUGCUGGCAAUAUAACACAGCAGAGAGACAACAGUCCUGGAGAUUCUUGGAAUGCGUGGAAGACAACUUCCUAACGCAGCUGGUGAGGGAACCGACCAGGGAAAGUGCCCUACUGGACCUGCUGAUAGUUAACUCGGAAGGUCUUGUGGGGGAUGUAAAUGUUGGAGGCCGUCUUGGACAAAGUGAUCAUGAAAUGAUAAAAUUUUCAAUUCUCACUGAAGCAAGGCGGGGGGCCAGCAGGACUGCCACCCUGGACUUCCGAAGGGCAGACUUUGGCCUCUUCAGGAGCAUGAUUGGGGGUGUCCCUUGGGAGAUGGUCCUCGAGGGCAAGGGUGCCCAGGAAAGCUGGUCAUUCUUCAAGGAGGCACUCUUAAAGGCGCAAGAUAAAGCUAUUCCCAAGUCCCUAAAAUCAAGCAGGAAGGGAAGAAGACCAGCCUGGCUAAAUAGAGAGCUUCGGCUGGAACUCAGGAACAAAAAGAAGGCUUAUAAUCUUUGGAAAAAGGGCCUGGCAGAUAAGGAGAAAUACCAUGAAGCGGUGAGGAUAUGCAGGGGGAAAAUUAGAAGGGCCAAGGCUCAAGUGGAGCUCAGCUUGGCCACCAAUAUUAACAAUAACAAAAAGGGGUUUUUUCAGUAUGUUAACAGCAAGAGAAAGGUGAGGGAUAAUGUGGGCCCACUGAUGGAUGAGGUGGGCACCCUAGUAGUGGAAGACACGGAGAAAGCAGAGUUGCUGAAUGCCUUCUUUUCUUCAGUCUUCACUGUUAGGACUGCCCCUCAUGAAUCUGUGGCCUUAGAGGCAAGGGGGAUGGUAUGGAGAGAGGAAAUUUUUCCUCUAGUAGAGGAGGGCCAGGUUCGGGACCACUUGGCCAAACUGGACAUUCAUAAGUCCAUGGGGCCUGAUGGGUUGCACCCACGAGUGCUGAGGGAGCUGGCAGACGUUAUCGCUGGACCACUCUCGAUCAUCUUUGAGAAGUCGUGGAGAACAGGAGAGGUGCCUGAGGACUGGAGGAAGGCCAACAUCACUCCAGUCUUCAAAAAGGGCAAGAAGGAGGACCCUGGGAACUACAGACCAGUUA